AUUGAACGCUGGCGGCAUGCUUUACACAUGCAAGUCGGACGGCAGCGGGGGUGCUUGCACCAGCCGGCGAGUGGCGAACGGGUGAGUAACAUAUUGGAAUGUACCGAGUAGUGGGGGAUAACCAAUCGAAAGAUUGGCUAAUACCGCAUACGUCCUGAGGGGGAAAGCAGGGGAUCUUCGGACCUUGCGCUAUUUGAGCAGCCAAUAUCUGAUUAGCUAGUUGGUGGGGUAAAGGCCCACCAAGGCGACGAUCAGUAGCGGGUCUGAGAGGAUGAUCCGCCACACUGGGACUGAGACACGGCCCAGACUCCUACGGGAGGCAGCAGUGGGGAAUUUUGGACAAUGGGGGCAACCCUGAUCCAGCCAUGCCGCGUGUCUGAAGAAGGCCUUCGGGUUGUAAAGGACUUUUGUUAGGGAAGAAAAGGGAAGUGUUAAUACCACUUUUUGCUGACGGUACCUAAAGAAUAAGCACCGGCUAACUACGUGCCAGCAGCCGCGGUAAUACGUAGGGUGCGAGCGUUAAUCGGAAUUACUGGGCGUAAAGCGAGCGCAGACGGUUACUUAAGCAGGAUGUGAAAUCCCCGGGCUCAACCUGGGAACUGCGUUCUGAACUGGGUAGCUAGAGUAUGUCAGAGGGGGGUAGAAUUCCACGUGUAGCAGUGAAAUGCGUAGAGAUGUGGAGGAAUACCGAUGGCGAAGGCAGCCCCCUGGGAUAAUACUGACGUUCAUGCUCGAAAGCGUGGGUAGCAAACAGG
rnacentral:rRNA from 1 species